rnacentral:rRNA from 1 species
GACGAACCGUGCGAACGUUGUUCGGAAUCACUGGGCUUAAAGGGCGCGUAGGCGGGCUGCCAAGUUCGGGGUGAAAUCCUCCCGCUUAACGGGAGAACGGCCUCGAAUACUGGCGGUCUCGAGGGAGGUAGGGGCGUGCGGAACUAUGGGUGGAGCGGUGAAAUGCGUUGAUAUCCAUAGGAACUCCGGUGGCGAAGGCGGCACGCUGGACCUUUUCUGACGCUGAGGCGCGAAAGCCAGGGGAGCAAACGGG